rnacentral:sRNA from 1 species
UAUCAUGUCAUAUCUGUGCCGGAAUAGC